AGCUCCAAUAGCGUAUAUUAAAGUUGUUGCAGUUAAAAAGCUCGUAGUUGGAUUUCUGGUUAGAUGCGCCUGGCCCGCCGACGUUCAGUCGUGUGAAGUGCUGGUGCGCAACUGCCAUCCUUCUAGAGAAGGGACCAACGGUUCAUUCCGGUUCGGUUCACAAUCUAGAUCUUUUACUUUGAAAAAAUUAGAGUGUUUAAAGCAGGCUUUUGCUAUGAAUACAUUAGCAUGGAAUAAUAAUUUAGGACUCUGUUUCUAUUUUGUUGGUUUCCGGAAACGGAGUAAUGAUUGAUAGGGAUUGUUGGGGGUGCUAGUAUUCAGCGGCCAGAGGUGAAAUUCUCGGAUUCGCUGAAGACUAACUUAUGCGAAAGCAUUCACCAAGGAAGUCUUCUUUAAUCAA
rnacentral:rRNA from 1 species